AUACGUAGGGGACGAGCGUUAUCCGGAUUUACUGGGCGUAAAGGGCGUGUAGGCGGUCUUGCAAGUCAGAAGUGAAAUUCCUGAGCUCAACUCGGGCGCUGCUUCUGAAACUGCAGGACUUGAGUGCUGGAGGGGAUAGCGGAAUUCCUAGUGGAGCGGUAAAAUGCGCAGAUAUUAGGAAGAACACCGGUGGCGAAGGCGGCUAUCUGGACAGUAACUGACGCUGAGGCGCGAAAGCGUGGGGAGCAAACAGGAUUAGAUACCCUGGUAGUCCACACUGUAAACGAUGAAUGCUAGGUGUAGGGGGUAUCGACCCCUUCUGUGCCGCAGUCAACACAAUAAGCAUUCCGCCUGGGGAGUACGGCCGCAAGGUUGAAACUCAAAUGAAUUGGCGGGG
rnacentral:rRNA from 1 species